rnacentral:lncRNA from 1 species
GGGCAUACCAUUCUGGGUACAAUAAGCCUGCAAAUUAUGUUUGAGUGAAGAUUAAGUACUGGUAGUACAAGAGUUCAUGUAUGUCUGGCAAUUAAGGAACGAACCGCAAACAUUGCAAAGCAUUGACUAGUUUGUGCCAACACCGCCUGCUGCACCGCCUGCUGCACCGCUUGCUGCGUCCUCUCAUCAGCCAGUCGCCUCUCCUCCGCUGCCACUCGCCUCUCCUCCGCCAGUCGGGCCUACAAAAAUAUGGCAUGGCAAUCGCAUCUUCAAUCCAACAGUAAGUAAGAAACAAAAAUAUAUAGAAGGACUUGUAUAGAAUACCUCCAUCUCAACCAUAGCUGGAGUCGAGCGUUUACAUGUAGAAGAUUUUGAGAUACCUAACCGAGCUUUGUAU